AGCGAACGCUGGCGGCAGGCCUAACACAUGCAAGUCGAACGAACCCUUCGGGGUUAGUGGCGAACGGGUGAGUAAUACAUCGGAACGUGCCUAGUAGUGGGGGAUAACUACUCGAAAGGGUGGCUAAUACCGCAUGAGAUCUACGGAUGAAAGCAGGGGAUCGCAAGACCUUGUGCUACUAGAGCGGCCGAUGGCAGAUUAGGUAAUUGGUGGGAUAAAAGCUUACCAAGCCGACGAUCUGUAGCUGGUCUUAGAGGACGAUCAGCCACACUGGGACUGAGACACGGCCCAGACUCCUACGGGAGGCAGCAGUGGGGAAUUUUGGACAAUGGGCGCAAGCCUGAUCCAGCAAUGCCGCGUGCAGGAUGAAGGCCUUCGGGUUGUAAACUGCUUUUGUACGGAACGAAAAGCCCUGGGUUAAUACCCUGGGGUCAUGACGGUACCGUAAGAAUAAGCACCGGCUAACUACGUGCCAGCCGCCGCAGUAACAC
rnacentral:rRNA from 1 species